GAAUAGAACCGGCUCCAAGCCUUUGAGCCUAAUGACUGAAACUCAUUUGUCAGGGAGAAUCGGACUUUUAUGGUGGAAAAAGCCUGAAUCCCUGAGCCCGUUAAAAAAGUAUAAAAAUUAUGGACGAUUAAUGCAUUUUAUACUUUCAUUUUUGCUGGGAUUGAGUCUUUAAUCCAUGGUUUAACGGCCGCGGUAUAAGUGGAAACGCUUGUGCCUCCCUUAUUUGGAAAGGAGACCAAAUUCACUAUUAG
rfam:Syntrophomonas wolfei subsp. wolfei str. Goettingen, complete genome.